rnacentral:lncRNA from 12 species
CUUGCGAGGACGGAGGCUGAGUGGGGACAGACCCCCGCGGUGUGGGGCGCCCGGAGCCUCAGCUAAGCCGCCGCCAGGGAGGGCACCGGACGCCGCUCGCAGAGGCGUCGGGCGGCGCGGGGCCGCGGGCUGCCGCCAGGGGGCGAGCGAGAGCCCCCGGGGCGGGUCCCGGCCGGGAGGGGCGCUCGGGGACCUCGCGGGAGGUCGCCCCCGGCCGCCGGGCCGCCCAGGCCUCUUUUAACCUUGGUCCCUCCCGCGCGCUCGCUCUUCCGCCCCGGCGCGCGACCCGGCUCAGUCCAGUUCAAGAUGCUGAUGAAGUUCAGGAUCUUUUCCAAUGGUGGCCAUUUUGCAUUGGAGUCUUCCAGAAGGCUGAGGUGAACUGUUAGCUUUGGGCUGGUGCUUGAAAGACAAUUGGGGUGCUUGAAAGAAGCUUUUCAAGUAGAAAAAGUGUAUUUGAACAUGUAAUUGAUACAUAGAAGCUUUUGCUUUCCUUGUCCCUCUUGUGGUAGUAGCAGGGGUGAAUUUUGUGAUGACAAUUAUCUCUAAAAACCUAUCCCUACCUGCUCCCAUAGAGAAUUUUGUAGAAUAUAGUUUAUUAUUUAAUGUAGUCUUUCUACCAACCAACCAGCCCCAGCCGGAAGCUUGGCAUAGGAACCAGACAAGCUAUUCUACAACUGAAAUCUUAUUCUUUUGAUUUGUCCUGAAGAUAUGUUUCAAAGUAUCCUUUUAAAAAUUUGGUUUUAUAUGCUUACAGAUUUUUCCAUAAUAGAUCAUUUUAAUGAUUAAAUGUGAUCCUUU